rnacentral:rRNA from 1 species
UGGGGAAUUUUGGACAAUGGGCGAAAGCCUGAUCCAGCAAUGCCGCGUGUGUGAAGAAGGCCUUCGGGUUGUAAAGCACUUUUGUCCGGAAAGAAAUCCUUGGCUCUAAUACAGUCGGGGGAUGACGGUACCGGAAGAAUAAGCACCGGCUAACUACGUGCCAGCAGCCGCGGUAAUACGUAGGGUGCAAGCGUUAAUCGGAAUUACUGGGCGUAAAGCGUGCGCAGGCGGUUUGCUAAGACCGAUGUGAAAUCCCCGGGCUCAACCUGGGAACUGCAUUGGGUGACUGGCAGGCUAGAGUAUGGCAGAGGGGGGUAGAAUUCCACGUGUAGCAGUGAAAUGCGUAGAGAUGUGGAGGAAUACCGAUGGCGAAGGCAGCCCCCUGGGCCAAUACUGACGCUCAUGCACGAAAGCGUGGGGAGCAAACAGGAUUAGAUACCCUGGUAGUCCACGCCCUAAACGAUGUCAACUAGUUGUUGGGGAUUCAUUUCCUUAGUAACGUAGCUAACGCGUGAAGUUGACCGCCUGGGGAGUACGGUCG